CUUUACUAAGUAUCCAAGACCAACAAGAAUUUCCCAUCUCACCCUACCACCACCCAGAAGAGGAGCACAGAGAUGGGGGAGAGAGUGGCUGCAUCUGGCACCCAGCCAGAGGAGUCCGUGCAGGGA
ensembl:misc_RNA